AUAAGAAAGCAGAUCGCAUGAUCAGCUUUUAAAAGGCGGCGUAAGCUGUCGCUAUGGGAUGGCCCCGCGGUGCAUUAGCUAGUUGGUAAGGUAAAGGCUUACCAAGGCGAUGAUGCAUAGCCGAGUUGAGAGACUGAUCGGCCACAUUGGGACUGAGACACGGCCCAAACUCCUACGGGAGGCAGCAGUAGGGAAUCUUCCACAAUGGACGCAAGUCUGAUGGAGCAACGCCGCGUGAGUGAAGAAGGUUUUCGGAUCGUAAAGCUCUGUUGUUGGUGAAGAAGGAUAGAGGUAGUAACUGGCCUUUAUUUGACGGUAAUCAACCAGAAAGUCACGGCUAACUACGUGCCAGCAGCCGCGGUAAUACGUAGGUGGCAAGCGUUGUCCGGAUUUAUUGGGCGUAAAGCGAGCGCAGGCGGAAGAAUAAGUCUGAUGUGAAAGCCCUCGGCUUAACCGAGGAACUGCAUCGGAAACUGUUUUUCUUGAGUGCAGAAGAGGAGAGUGGAACUCCAUGUGUAGCGGUGGAAUGCGUAGAUAUAUGGAAGAACACCAGUGGCGAAGGCGGCUCUCUGGUCUGCAACUGACGCUGAGGCUCGAAAGCAUGGGUAGCGAACAGGAUUAGAUACCCUGGUAGUCCAUGCCGUAAACGAUGAGUGCUAAGUGUUGGGAGGUUUCCGCCUCUCAGUGCUGCAGCUAACGCAUUAAGCACUCCGCCUGGGGAGUACGACCGCAAGGUUGAAACUCAAAGGAAUUGACGGGGGCCCGCACAAGCGGUGGAGCAUGUGGUUUAAUUCGAAGCAACGCGAAGAACCUUACCAGGUCUUGACAUCUAGUGCCAUUUGUAGAGAUACAAAGUUCCCUUCGGGGACGCUAAGACAGGUGGUGCAUGGCUGUCGUCAGCUCGUGUCGUGAGAUGUUGGGUUAAGUCCCGCAACGAGCGCAACCCUUGUUAUUAGUUGCCAGCAUUAAGUUGGGCACUCUAAUGAGACUGCCGGUGACAAACCGGAGGAAGGUGGGGAUGACGUCAAGUCAUCAUGCCCCUUAUGACCUGGGCUACACACGUGCUACAAUGGGCAGUACAACGAGAAGCGAGCCUGCGAAGGCAAGCGAAUCUCUGAAAGCUGUUC
rnacentral:rRNA from 1 species